CCCAGCUUAAGGAUUGGUUCGAGCUCCGAUUGCGCCCGCCCAAAUUGCACGGGUUCGCAUCUGCCCCCCACAGAUUUGCCCCCCAAAUACAUCCCACACAAUUGGAACUCGACGCGUGCAAGGGGAGGUUGACGUUGUUUCCAGCAUCCCCGUUAAUGAAACAUGUGCGACUAAAGGGGGGUUUCUUCUCCAUCCACCCACCGGUCGAGUUCCACCAGCCGACGACCAUACCGGCAGGAGAUCUGAACCUAUCGGAGUGGGAGGCCCCUGACGACGCUUUACACCCCCUUCAGUGACCUGCUGCUUGACUCCGACGACCAUACCGGCAGGAGGCACCACAUUGGCUCAUGUAUAACCAUUUUAGCUCUUUUGUAAACAAUCUUCCCAUACAAGUAGAGGAAACCAUCUCUAGUGGAUCUCAUAUGAGCCAGGAAUCAUCAGCUCGUGGGAGAAGUGAUGAAGAUAAAAGGGCAAGAGCUGUUGUUAAAGUAAGGGAAGAGAAGACAGUGAUGAUUUACCUAGUGGGAGAAGUGACAACAUGGUUGGUUCAAAGGAUUUCUAGACGUGGCGACGGAUCAGUGAAGAUACAACGCUGGAGGGACUUACAGCAUAGGGUUGAUCGUAAUGUGUAUCACCAUAAGUUUUCACUCGCAUUUGUAGAUUGUACUAUGAAGCCCAAACCACAUAUAUCUUCUUUAUAAGUUCGAAAUCGAAAUCUAGUUGAGGUUAUUUAUCAAAGGAAAAAAAGCUACUUGAGGUUUGUAAUUUCUUCUUCCCCUACUCUCAAGGAAAUUGUCUUUCUUGUCUCUUGCCAUUUCUGUUUCUUUUUUUGUUCAGUAGAAUUCUAUGUUUCAUGUUUAUGAGUAUGUAUGUAUGUGACAAGAACUUCAACA